CAUGAACGCUGGCGGCGUGCCUAACACAUGCAAGUCGAGCGAUUUACUUCGGUAAAGAGCGGCGGACGGGUGAGUAACGCGUGGGUAACCUGCCCUGUACACACGGAUAGCAUACCGAAAGGUAUGCUAAUACGAGAUAAUAUGCUUUUAUCGCAUGGUAGAAGUAUCAAAGCUUUUGCGGUACAGGAUGGACCCGCGUCUGAUUAGCUAGUUGGGAAGGUAACGGCUUACCAAGGCGACGAUCAGUAGCCGACCUGGGAGGGUGAUCGGCCAAAUUGGAACUGAGACACGGUCCAAACUCCUGCGGGAGGCAGCAGUGGGGAAUAUUGCACAAUGGGCGAAAGCCUGAUGCAGCAACGCCGCGUGAGCGAUGAAGGCCUUCGGGUCGUAAAGCUCUGUCCUCAAGGAAGAUAAUGACGGUACUUGAGGAGGAAGCCCCGGCUAACUACGUGCCAGCCGCCGCCGUAAUAC
rnacentral:rRNA from 1 species